rnacentral:rRNA from 1 species
GACGUAGGGCGCGAGCGUUGUCCGGAUUUAUUGGGCGUAAAGAGCUCGUAGGCGGCUUGUCGCGUCGACUGUGAAAACCCGCGGCUCAACCGCGGGCCUGCAGCCGAUACGGGCAGGCUAGAGUUCGGUAGGGGAGACUGGAAUUCCUGGUGUAGCGGUGAAAUGCGCAGAUAUCAAGAGGAACACCUGAGGUGAAGACGGGUUGCUGGGCUGACACUGACGCUGAGGCGCGAAAGCUAGGGUAGCAAACGGG